rnacentral:rRNA from 1 species
UGAGGAAUAUUGGUCAAUGGGCGCAAGCCUGAACCAGCCAUCCCGUGUGCAGGAAGACGGCCCUAUGGGUUGUAAACUGCUUUUCCAGGGGGAGAAUUUUUCUGUCGUGACAGGAAUUGACGGUACCCUGGGAAUAAGCAUCGGCUAACUCCGUGCCAGCAGCCGCGGUAAUACGGAGGAUGCGAGCGUUAUCCGGAUUUAUUGGGUUUAAAGGGUGCGUAGGCGGAUUGAUAAGUCAGUGGUGAAAACCUGCAGCUUAACUGUAGACUUGCCGUUGAUACUGUCAGUCUUGAGUGUGGUCAAGGUAGGCGGAAUGUGUAAUGUAGCGGUGAAAUGCUUAGAUAUUGCACAGUACACCGAUUGCGAAGGCAGCUUACUGGGCCAUUACUGACGCUGAUGCACGAAAGCGUGGGGAUCGAACAG